rnacentral:rRNA from 1 species
UGGGGAAUAUUGGACAAUGGGGGCAACCCUGAUCCAGCGAUGCCGUGUGUGUGAAGAAGGCCUGCGGGUUGUAAAGCACUUUUGUUAGGGAGGAAGUGUGCGGGGUGAAUAACCUUGUACAUUGACGUUACCUGGCGAAUAAGCACCGGCAAACUCUGUGCCAGCAGCCGCGGUAAUACAGAGGGUGCAAGCGUUAAUCGGAAUUACUGGGCGUAAAGGGCGUGUAGGCGGUAUGAUAAGUCAGACGUGAAAGACCUGGGCUUAACCUGGGUAUGUCGUAUGAAACUGUCAUACUUGAGUGGAGUAGAGGGUAGCGGAAUUUCCGGUGUAGCGGUGAAAUGCGUAGAUAUCGGAAAGAACACCAGUUGCGAAGGCGGCUACCUGGACUCCAACUGACGCUGAGGCGCGAAAGCGUGGGGAGCGAACAGGAUUAGAUACCCGCGUAGUCC